UUUAAAAAAGAUUGGUGGUGAAAAGCCAAGAGAACAUGUUUUUUUGAUCAUGUAAAGGUUAUUUUCGAAUCAGUUACAGUCCAAAUUAAAUCGAAAAGGAAAUGGGGAAAAGAUAAGCUUAG